rnacentral:rRNA from 1 species
CUUCCGGGAAAACCGGAGCUAAUAACCGGAUAACCUUUUUGAACCGCAUGGUUUCAAAACCGAAAGACGGUUAUUGCUGUCACUUACAGAUGGGCCCGCGGCGCAUUAGCUAGUUGGUGAGGUAAUGGCUCACCAAGGCGACGAUGCGUAGCCGACCUGAGAGGGUGAUCGGCCACACUGGGACUGAGACACGGCCCAGACUCCUACGGGAGGCAGCAGUAGGGAAUCUUCCGCAAUGGACGAAAGUCUGACGGAGCAACGCCGCGUGAGUGAUGAAGGUUUUCGGAUCGUAAAGCUCUGUUGUCAGGGAAGAACAAGUGCGGGAGUCACUGCCCGCGCCUUGACGGUACCUGACCAGAAAGCCACGGCUAACUACGUGCCAGCAGCCGCGGUAAUACGUAGGUGGCAAGCGUUGUCCGGAAUUAUUGGGCGUAAAGCGCGCGCAGGCGGUCUUUUAAGUCUGAUGUGAAAGCCCCCGGCUCAACCGGGGAGGGUCAUUGGAAA